AGCUCCAAUAGCGUAUAUUAAAGUUGCUGCAGUUAAAAAGCUCGUAGUUGCAUUUCCGAGGCAAGGGAUUAGUCCGACCUUUGGUGGGUAUUUAAUCCUCUUGCCUCGUCCUUGAGUGGUGCUUCUUGGUAUUAAGUUAUCGAGGAGAUAGCCGCUCAUCGUUUACUGUGAGAAAAUUAGAGUGUUCAAAGCAGGCUUAUGCCGUUGAAUAUAUUAGCAUGGAAUAAUAAGAUAGGACCUCUGUACUAUUUUGGUGGUUUGAGAACCAAGGUAAUGAUGAAUAGGGACAGUUGGGGGUAUUCGUAUUCAGUUGUCAGAGGUGAAAUUCUUAGAUUUACGGAAGACGAACUACUGCGAAAGCAUUUACCAAGGAUGUUUUCA
rnacentral:rRNA from 1 species